CCUACGGGAGGCUGCAGUAGGGAAUAUUGGGCAAUGGUCGGAAGACUGACCCAGCCAUGCCGCGUGCAGGAAGACGGCCCUCUGGGUUGUAAACUGCUUUUAUCUGGGAAGAAAAAGGCCAUGCGUGGCAAAUUGCCGGUACCAGAUGAAUAAGCACCGGCUAACUCCGUGCCAGCAGCCGCGGUAAUACGGAGGGUGCAAGCGUUGUCCGGAUUUAUUGGGUUUAAAGGGUGCGUAGGCGGCUAUUUAAGUCAGCGGUGAAAGACUCCGGCUUAACCGGAGCAGUGCCAUUGAUACUGGAUAGCUUGAGUGUUGGAGGGGUACAUGGAAUUGAUGGUGUAGCGGUGAAAUGCAUAGAUACCAUCAGGAACACCGAUAGCGAAGGCAUUGUACUGGCCAACAACUGACGCUGAGGCACGAAAGUGUGGGGAUCGAACAGGAUUAGAUACCCCAGUAGUC
rnacentral:rRNA from 1 species